rnacentral:lncRNA from 13 species
UAGUCUCUCUCUCUCUCUAUCGUCCUCCACUACAUUCAUUACUCUCUCUCUCUCUCUCUCUCUAUCUCUCUCUCUACCACACCUGCUGUCUAGACCUCUGAAUGACCCCUUGGUCUUCUAUGAACGUUUGAACAUCUUGAAGAACAAUCUGACCUUAAUGGCCAUGAACUAUCUCCCCCCAGCACAGCCGUAGACGACUGGCUAGCCCUCAGAGCCUGGUUCCUCUCUCCCCAGUACAGCCAGUAGAAGACUGGUCACCACUCAGAGCCUGGUUCCUCUCUACCCAGUACAGCCAGUAGAGGACUGGUCACCCCUCAGAGCCUGGUUCCUCUCCCCCCAGUACAGCCAGUAGAGGACUGGUCACCCCUCAGAGCCUGGCUCCUCUCUACCCAGUACAGCCAGUAGAGGACUGGUCACCCUUC